GUGGCUACAAAAAAAUGUUGAAAUGCUUCUCAAAUAAUACAUAGGGGAUAUAUAAAAUAUAUAACACUAACUAAUAUUAAUGUAUAAAGAAAUGUAAGAACCAAUAUUAUUAAAAAGUAUCGUGUAUAUGUAAUUUUCUCGUAUCAAUAUUAAACGUGUCUCAAUCAAAGACAAUUUGUAACAUUGUACUUUAGCUUGCUCGAAUUGAAAUAACCUGUUUGGUCAAAACGCUUUGAAUUUUGGAAAUGGCUGCCCUUCUCGUUCUCGCCCCGUGACGCUGGCGACUCAUAAACCCUAGCCGCUCUGCGAACAAGACGAACGGCUUGGGUUUCACAGAGGGCUGAUUUACUCUCCCCCACCAUGGCUUAUGCAGCGACCAAACGAAAGCGCGGCGUGAGGCAAGACAGAUUCUCGGACAAGCCAGCUUCCGAUUCUACAAUACCCCCCACACUUUCUAGAUAUAAAGUCCGCGAAUUUCACGCCCGUUGCAGAGGAUUUCUUAGAUUCAGAUCACUGGUUCGUCGUAACAAGAGGAGGACAACAAGCGUUUGCUUAGGGAUUAGUCAUCAUGAAGCAAGCAAUUUAUUUGGUUACAAGUUUGAUUCAAGCAAACCCAUACAUGAAGAUGAAGUGAUUGAUUUGGUUGAUGAAGAAGAUUCAAGCAUUGAACAAGCUGCUAAGGAAUAUUCUUCUCCUUCUCCUCCCCGUGCUCCAAAGGGUAGCUAUCUGAGCGUACCAUUGAUACGUCGAUCUCCCCGUUUGAAGAAAAAGCGCGCUGAGGUAUCUCGUGAACUCUUUAUCCCGCUCAAAGAAGAGGAAGAUGCUCAAGUCAAAAGUGCCUUCUCUGUGAGAAAUAGGAUGAAGGUCUUGGUUUUGCAUAAACAUUCCGGCAUUGAAAUUCGCGGAGAGACUUUACAAUGCCUCAAACCGUGUGCUUGGCUUAACGACGAUGUCAUCAAUCUCUAUCUCGAAUUGCUGAAAGAAAGAGAAACUAGAGAUCCUCAAAAGGACUUCAAGUGUCAUUUCUUCAAUACGUUUUUUUACGUCAAGCUAACAAGACCCAGUUACAAUUACAAAGCUGUCAGGAGAUGGACCAGACAUAAAAGGCUCGGAUAUAAUCUUAUUGACUGUGACAUAAUAUUUGUUCCUAUCCAUGGUGUUGUACAUUGGACCCUUGCAGUGAUUAACAUAAGGGAAUGCAAAUUCAUGUAUCUUGAUUCACUUAAUGGAUCUGAUCCUACAAUUUUGACUGCCGUGGCUAAGUACUUUGUGGAUGAAGUGAAGGACAAGAAUGGUAAAACUAUUGACAUUAGUUCAUGGGACAUGGAAUACGUUAAAGACCUUCCGCUACAACAGAACGGUCUCUGAUGAUAAUCCUCUCUUGCCAAUUGUCCAGGUACGACUGUGGGAUGUUUAUGCUUAAAUACAUAGAUUUUUACAGUAGAGGACUGGGGCUGAAGUUUAGCCAGACGGACAUGCCAUACUUCAGGGUAAAAACAGCUAAGGAGAUACUGAGACUGCAAGCCGAUUAGAAUUUUAGAAAGCCAACAAUGUUAUAUUUAGAAACCUCUCAAGUGAAAUCUAAUUUGCUUUGGCUAUGGUGAAUGCCAAGAUAGCUUUUUAGGAGCUAUCGGUUAAUUUUUCUGUGGCAAAUAGAAUUGAAGGGGUUGUAGCUUACUUCAGUGAUGAAUAUUGUAAAAGCCAACAAUAUUACUGUCGGAAGCAUUUGAGGAAAAAUCUAAUUUUCUUUCUCUGAGGGACUUAGGGAGAACCUCAUAGUCAUGGUUGCAUCUUGGCAUUGCUCGUUUGUAUUUUUAUUUUGCAAAGAGAACUAAAGCUUAGUUAUUAUAAUUGAUUAUCUU